CGCAGGCCCCGCCCUACUCACCCAGGAAAAGGCCGGUGGCGAAAGCGGCGCCCAGUGCGGCGGAGGCCAGGGCCAGCGCGGCGGGCACCGAGAGCCGGGGUGCGGGAUGGAUCAUGAUGCGGCCAGGAGGAACCGCAGUCUUAUGCAAAUGGCAUCAGAUCCCACGAGCUGGCACACAGUAGGUGCUCAAGAAAUGGCCGCUGUUGGAGUGGAGACCUUUGGGGAGGAAAGUGAUGGCAGAGUUGCAACUUGGAGGUAGUAAGGAGGCUCCAGGACCAACAGGGACACAAGCUUCUACUCUUGUUGUGCUGCCAUCCUCAUCAUGUGGCUUCACCUCAUUGAACAAGUUGGCUGCUUGAGCUCCAGCCAUCACAUCUUCACCUUAAUUUUCAGAAGAAAGAAAAGGACAAAAUAGGACUCACGGCUUUCCUUUAACGAUACUUCCUGAAGGAUACUCCUUGUAUUAUUUGGUCAGCACUUAGUCAUAUGGCCGCACUUCAGUUUAGAAAUUGUCUUUAUUCUAGAUCAUUAUAUUCUCAGAGAAAAAUCAGUUCUAUCAUUAAACUUGAAAGGGAGAAUGGGUACUGGGAACACUGAGCUGCAUUUUACAGAUAAAGAAACCGAGGCUCAGAGAGACAAACAACCAGGUUACACAGCCAGGAAAAGGUGAAGCCUGGACCUUCUGUCCCUGGCCCCUGUGGAACCAAUGGGGCUCCAAAGACACACACUGCCAAUUUCCUGGGGUGGGUGAUGGUGAGGAAGACUGUGGAUAUGUGCAUUCUCCCCUUCCUAGGCCCCAGAAACACCCAGGGCCCAAGUCCUGCUCUCCAGACACUCCCUUGUGCCUUCAAGCACUGGCAGCCUCUCCGGGCCCAGAUCCGUCAUCCUGGCACCAACCAUGCCCCGGGCCUGACUCCAUCCAUCCCACUAAUGCCGGCAUCGACUGUGCUCAGGCACGUUCCUGAGGCGGCCUCAAGAGCGCUGAAUAAUUCAGGCAAGCGUAAUGGGAUAAUGAAUUUACUGACAACCCA